rnacentral:rRNA from 1 species
GACGAACGCUGGCGGCGUGCUUAACACAUGCAAGUCGAACGGUGAAGGGGCCUGCUUUUGUGGGCCCUGGAUGAGUGGCGAACGGGUGAGUAACACGUGAGUAACCUGCCCCCUUCUUCUGGAUAACCGCAUGAAAGUGUGGCUAAUACGGGAUAUUCUGGGUCUGUCGCAUGAUGGGUCUGGGAAAGAUUGCGCCUUUGGGUGUUUUUGGUGGGGGAUGGGCUCGCGGCCUAUCAGCUUGUUGGUGGGGUGAUGGCCUACCAAGGCGGUGACGGGUAGCCGGCCUGAGAGGGUGGACGGUCACACUGGGACUGAGACACGGCCCAAACUCCUACGGGAGGCAGCAGUGGGGAAUAUUGCACAAUGGGCGCAAGCCUGAUGCAGCGACGCCGCGUGAGGGAUGGAGGCCUUCGGGUUGUAAACCUCUUUCGCCAGUGAAGCAGGCCUGCUCCUUGUGGGUGGGUUGACGGUAGCUGGAUAAGAAGCGCCGGCUAACUACGUG